UUUCUGGGUUGUUUACAAAACAUAAAACAGAGAAUAUUGAAUAGGGGAGGGAAGUAAGCAGCAAAUAUUUAUAAACUGCAAAUAUAAAAGAUUCUCUUUCAAUAGUUAAGCUGUCACUAUUACUUUGUUACCAUGGGUCAAAUGUUAAUGUUUGUAUCUACCAAGAAAAAUAUCUCUUUUCCUUGUUUACUCUCCUGAGCUUAAUUAUUUUCAGACAAAGAAUCUACAAUAGAUCUUCUCCAGCAGCUCUGGAGGUCAGACCCAGCUGUGGAGAGAAUCAUUUCUAAAAAACUAGAAGGCACGUUGGGAAAGACUACUACUUUCUGUGGAUGAAUGGGAAAUUCAAGACAGAAAAUGGAUGGGCAGUUACCCAUUUAUUGGCCAGAGGAAAGCAGAGGCAAGCAGAGAGAUGGACACUUAAGCAAUAUACUAGUCAGUGUCCUGAAGAGGAGACUCUGGCUCGCACCUUGAGAGGAGGUGGAAAGAAUGAGAGAACUGGAAGAUAAGUUUAUUAAGCAACAAAUACACUGGAGUCUUAUGUCACUUUCUGAGUGACGACUUGCAAAAGAAGGUUCCUUUGCUCAUUAAAACAACUCGUUUUCCUCAGAUUCAUCUGACAAGCUGAUACCUGAAGUUAUUCCACAGGUGCCCAUCGUCAUCCAGAUCUGGAAUUGCUCCCAAUGUAUAAACCAGUGCAAAGACUCCCUUGUAUAUGAGUUUAUUCUGAACAGCUAAAGAUUUGUAACUAUGGAAACCAAAGUGCAAGGUAUAUGGAUUAAAAUAAAGGCAAUUGAGAGAUGUGAUGAUUAUAUACGUCUGGCUCAAACAAUUCAGAGACGUUUUUGCAAUCCGCUGGGUCAUUAAUUGUGAAACCGUAAUAAUAAUCAGUGCCAAAUUAUUCCAGAGCAAAUAUGGACAAAAACUCCCAAGAAAGGGAUAUAGGAAAGGAAAUAGAAAAUAAAAUGACAGUUUUGCCAGGACGAUUAAAUAUCAUUGAUGCUUCUGGUCUACAAUUAGUCAGAGAAGAGAUUAAAAAAAUGAUGAGUAUUCAAGAAGGAAAGUGUUUGCUUUAACAUAUGAAGAAAAGGAGCUUCAGAGUGGUGAUUAACCCCAGAAUUGUGUGGAACGGAUAUGGAAACAAGACCACAGGAGCAUCGAGAACUGAGCAGAACUGAAGGUGACAUGAAAAUCAGCUGCAAGAUUCACCUCAGGGUGAUAAUGGGCUGCAGGUGGCUGCAGGAAUCCCGGGACAUUCUAGGCACUGCCAUAUUUUCUUAGGGGCCAGUAAGGAUGGCUAUCAUCAGAUGUACCUGAUGAUACAAACAUGGGCUGUCUUGCCUUCUAGUAUUCAUUCUUGAUGAUUGCAUCCAGAGCUCACUUUGGAGGUGCAGAUCAACUCUUCUUCAGGCUCAUCCAUGCGACUUGAGUGGGCUCUCAUCCCCAUUCCCAGGGGCUUAUGACAAUCAAGGUUUCCACUCCUCCAUGGUCUCAAUGGUUUUUCUCCCCAUGGGAAGCACAUAAUCCCAUUAGAGGCCACGGGAAGCUUUUUUGUUGGGCUUUGAGGGAAAAAAGGCUUUUGCAGCCAAUGAAUCGAUCAAUGUGUACUUCAACCUGGAUUGUAUGUAUGCAUCUCCUAGAUUGGGCGGAUGAUGAAGUGAGGCUGGAAGUGCUGAGCAUCUUCCUACCUGGGAUGACUGGGCUGAGCAGGAAGCCUACCCCGGGGUUCCAGCCAAGUUGGAGCCUGUGAGUGUGUGGUGUAGUUUAACGCCCUGAUUAAAUCACUAGGAAGCCAUUUCUCUCUCUCCUCCCAGACCAGAUCAGACAAUAUGUUCCCUUAUUUCUACUAAAGCCCCAAUUGGAUUUUGUGUCUUUUGAUACUGAAAGAAUCUUACCACAAAUAAAAUAAUUUGUCAUGUGGCUCCUACAUAUUUAUUCAGUUACAUAAACUAACUAAAUAAA
rnacentral:lncRNA from 10 species